UAACACAUUCUAUAGUAGGAUCAUUUCUAUAGGAAUCGUCACUCUUUGACUCUUCAAAAGAGCCACUGAAUCCAACUUGGUUGAUGAGCCACAGAACCUUUGUACCCCAGAGUGAGAAACAAACCCAAUGGAGGUGACAUCUCUUCCGAAAGGAAGAUGCAGUUUGGUUCCGUAAUCCUAAGCGGUUCGGUCAUCUGUACUGUCCCUUCGCCCAACCCUUACGUUUUGCUGUUUGCGUAUAGAAUUGGUUUGAUGCCCACAGGACUUCGGUCUUGCGGGUGGACGACCUCUUCGACCCCUUCAAAAUGGCGCGAUGAUCUUUACCCAUCUUGUGUACUUCUCUUCGUGGAAGGGACAAGUUUUUAUGGCCUAGGAGUUGAUAUCUUUCGGGACAUCUUCUCUGUUUGGGUCUUGGGUGGGUACAAAUGGCAGUCUGACAAGU
rnacentral:snoRNA from 1 species